rnacentral:rRNA from 1 species
AUUGAACGCUGGCGGCAGGCCUAACACAUGCAAGUCGAGCGAGCGGCGGGCGGGUUAGUGAUGUAUGGUGAUCUGCACGAUAGAGGGGGAUAACUGCUGGCGACGGUGGCUAAUCCCGCAUCCCAUCGGAUGACCCCAGAUGGGAUGAGCUAGUCGGUGUGGUAAAGGCUCACCUAGGCGACGAUCCCUAGCUGGUCUGAGAGGAUGGUCAGCAACACUGGGACUGAGACACGGCCCAGACUCCUACGGGAGGCAGCAGUGGGGAAUAUUGCACAAUGGGCGCAAGCCUGAUGCAGCCAGGCCGCGUGUAUGAAGAAGGCCUUAGGGUUGUAAAGUACUUUCAGCGGGGAGGCGUUACCCGCAGAAGAAGCACCGGCUAACUCCGUGCCAGCAGCCGCGGUAAUAC